UUCAUUGUAGCUCAGUGGUAGAGUGCCGGUGCGUAAAACCAGCCGUCCGGGUUCGAUUCCCAGCAAGGGAG
rnacentral:tRNA from 1 species